GAUNAGCUGGCGGCAUGCCUACACAUGCAAGUCGAACGAAGGGCUUCGGCCCUGAGUGGCGGACGGGUGAGUAACGCGUAGGAAUCUGCCCGCGGGUGGGGGACAACCUGGGGAAACCCAGGCUAAUACCGCAUGAGCUCGCGAGAGGAAAGCGGGGGACCUUCGGGCCUCGCGCCGGCGGAGGAGCCUACGUCCGAUUAGCUGGUUGGUGGGGUAACGGCCCACCAAGGCGACGAUCGGUAGCUGGUCUGAGAGGACGAUCAGCCACACUGGGACUGAGACACGGCCCAGACUCCUACGGGAGGCAGCAGUGGGGAAUCUUGGACAAUGGGCGCAAGCCUGAUCCAGCAAUGCCGCGUGGGUGAAGACGGCCUGCGGGUUGUAAAGCCCUUUGGGCGGGGAAGAAGGGCCGGCGGCGAACAGCGGCCGGUUUUGACACUACCCGCGAAACAAGCACCGGCUAACUCCGUGCCAGCAGCCGCGGUAAUACGGAGGGUGCGAGCGUUAAUCGGAAUUACUGGGCGUAAAGCGUGCGUAGGCGGUUCGGUCAGUCAGCCGUGAAAGCCCCGGGCUCAACCUGGGAACGGCGGUUGAGACGGCCGGACUGGAGUGGGCCAGAGGAUCGUGGAAUUCCGGGUGUAGCGGUGAAAUGCGUAGAGAUCCGGAGGAACACCGAUGGCGAAGGCGCUCUGCUGGGCCAUAACUGACGCUCAUGGGACGAAAGCCAGGGGAGCGAAAGGGAUUAGAUACCCCUGUAGUCCUGGCCGUAAACGAUGAACACUAGGUGUCGG
rnacentral:rRNA from 1 species